CCCUCCUUUUCUCGUCCUGUCUCCACCCCGUUCCACAGACUGCCCCCAAAUCUCGUUCUGCCUCGAAACCUAAAUCCUCCACCACCGCCGCCGCCGCCGCCGCUCGAGCCCUCUCUCGCCGCUCGUGCUCUCUCCCCGUCCGGCUACGUGCUCUCCUGGCGGCGAGUCUGUAGCCCCCUCUCCCGCUCGUUCUCCAGUGUCUCCACCGCCGACCCCACACCAUCCUGCCACGGCCACGCGCUCCAUUGUUGUUCCCCGGCUAGUGCUCUCUCCGGCCAGCCACCACGCGUAAGCUUCCAGCGAGGCUGACGCCACCCUGCCUGGCCCGUACUCCCCACUCUCCACCGUCGUAUCCACCAUCGCCAUCGAAGUACAGAAGAGAUCUUGGCGCCGGCGAGAGGGGGCUCGGGAUAGGGCUAGUGAGGGGCUUUGGAUUUAGAGGAGAAAAGAUGCCCUCGGUUCCUCCCCUUUCGGCCUUCCCCGGCCGGAUCUGCUCCCCUUCAUCCACCCCGCCUGAAUCCCCGAGCUCCUCCCUCAGGAAUGUUUGAAGAGAGUUAUCCCCUAUGGGCACAUGGAUAUUGCAUAAUCAGUCUUUUCAAGGGAAUAAUUUGCCUAAAGAAGGUGAAGCAAUCAGCUAAGCAAUGAAACUGGAGUCAAGUAAUGAGAAAUAUUCCAGUGGCAAUCAAGAGGUGAAUCGUAAACAUUCCGAAGGAGACAAGUCAUCCACCCAUCCAACAGAAAGUGUAGGCAGUUUAAGGCUAACAGCACUUGAUCUGGGCAAUAACAGCGCACCAGUUUCAUCUAGUUCUGUGCAUAAGAAGAUGUUCAAGCUGGAGGAUGUGGCGAUGGGAAUAUGGAUCAAUGAGAUGAAGGAAGGCUUUGAUGUCAAUUACGAGAAAACUAGAUACCCACCAAGAUACAUCAUAGAAAGAUAUGUCGGUCGGGAAAGGGUUUUCCCGUCUGGACUUUCCCCAACAGACAGGGUCGGUCGGCAAUAGGCUUUCCCGACCGACUGUCUAUCGGCGUAACAUGUAUUCCCGACCAACCUGGCUGUCGGGGAUGUAGUGUUGUGGUGUAGUGUGUACGAAGAAAAUCAUAUUGUUUCAAGUGUAUUUUUAUUAAGGAUUCAUGUUUCUUACUAUAGUUUAUUAAGUUGUAUUUGAAGACUCUCCAAGUCUAUAACAUUAGAUUUUAUAUGGUAAACCGUGCUAACAUAUAAAAAAGGGCUAGAAACAUUUGUGUUGAAAA